rnacentral:lncRNA from 1 species
GAGGAGAGGAGCAGGGAGAUGGGCUCGAGUCCGCGAACGGCGGAAGAGGUGUUCAGGUUUGAUAAUUUUCGCACUUUCUUGAAUCGAUUCAGUGAAUUUUUUUUUUAUAAAUUACUCAGUUUUGGGUUUGAAUCUUUAUCUGGAAAUCCAAAACGAAAAAACUGUGCUCUGCAACACGAUUGACGAUUUCGAUGUCGGCUUCGUGAGAUCUCGUCGAUCUUUGCUCCCAAUUUCUGUAAAUUUGGGGUUUCUUGGGGUAUAAUGUUUUCAAACUCUGUUACUUAUUGGAUGUGAAGAUCUAAUUCAAUUUGGUGAUUAAUAUAAUUAGAUUGUAUUAAAAUUUUCAUGAUUUUGUAGAAUUUUACGUUUUAAUUUGUGGGUUUUGGAGAAUUCUUCAUUAAAUUUCUGGGUUUUUUUUAUGUGAGAUUUAGUUAAUUUUUGUAGCUUUUGUAAAAUCCUUCGAUUAACUUUUUUUGUUUUGUUCUCUUUUCGUAUUAGCAAGUUAUGGAACCAACUAAAGAUCAAUUAACUUAUAACUGAUUCUUCUCUCUUCAGGUUCAUGGAUUGUUAAGCAGAGUGUGGGAAAGAAAGGGUGCCUCACUGGUUAGGCACUUGAAAUCAAUUAUUUCCAUCGGAAGAACUACUUGGAGGUAAUGUUGAAGAAAUAAUUAUUAAAUUACAUUAAAAAUUGUAACUUGCGUUUUGAUAUUCUAUUACUCCACAUGCUAAAUCUGCUUGGACAUUGAAUGAUGGAGGAGUUGGUUUCUUUUUUACUUAGGGUGUGUGGGAUGAGAUUUAAAUGUGUGCCUCUCAUGAUUUGCAUAAACAUAACUUGGAUAUGAAAGUAUAAGAUAUCAUGAAUCAUAUGUUAUUUUCUAAUUUGGAUACAUUAUGUGAAUUAUUGCUUCUUUGGAAAAGAUUAAGGAAUGUGGGUUCAUCAUGGGAUUUAAGUUUUAACAAUACAACUUCUUAAAAUUGAGUAAAUGCUCGCAUUUGAUAGAACCUUGAAGAUGGAUUUUCAGGUUCAAAUUUUGGUUGUGUAUUGGUACUGUGGAGUGUUUACUUUUAUUUUAUUUGUGUGUAUGUUUGGGAAUGAGGUAUCUGAAAAUUUUGGAGAAAAAUUAGCGGCUAUUGUUUACUUGCAAAGUCUGUAACUUUCUUUAAGCUUUUGCAGUACGUUUGGGAGCAAGCUGAAAUUGAUAUCAUUAAGCACAAGACAAGAAUAAGCCUCCAUUUCCAUCUCCUAAAAGCAGCAUAAGAAAAUUAAACAAGCAUUUUCAUACAGCUGGAGGCUGUAAGUUGUUUAUGUUUUUCCAAUUAUUACUUAUUUGAUAAUAUUUUGUUUUUCUGGUUUCACUCUAUUUACGGACUUAACAUUCACUAAGGAUUUCGGCUGGGCAUUUUUCUUUUCAGAUUUAGUUGUAUGGGCUUUUGCGGGUUUGGGCUGUGACUGGGUUGGUGGGUUUUGUUUGUGGUUGGGUUUUUCGGAUGGAUGGCGCCACGGGCAGGCCUAGCCUGCAACGAUGCCAGCGAGAAGAGAUGGGAGGUGUCGUGUGAUGCGAGAGAGAAGAGAGAGAGGAGGAGUCGUCCUAUGGCAGAG